AUAGUGCAUCUGCACUUGCCAAAGCGUCCCUGAGACCUCGGUGUACGGCGUGGCCAUGAAGACGACAUAGUGGACGCCAAAGAGGGGCAUGAGCACCAGCGUGGAUUUGAGCAGCUUCCUGGGCCGGUGGGGCAGGUUUCAGCUGAGCUGCGACCUUCCUGGGCCACCCACCCUCUACCUGCUCCUGCUCCUCAGACUCCCCACAACCAACUCUUUGAGGAGAUGUUCAAGUUCAUCCCACCCUCGCAGACUCUAGUGCAGGGCCUGGUACCAAGCAGGAGACAGGAUGGCUUUGGGUACCCCCAGGGCCUCCCAUCACUGCUGGGCAGGCCAGGGCCUGGGGCUGGCCAGGAACAGGUGUGCCCCAGGACAGGAAAAUUGAGACUUUGGAGCAUUCUGGAGAAAACAUAUUUCUGUGCCCUGCAUCCAUCUGGCCUCAUAGAAUUUACCAUGGACUGUACAAUGCAGGUGCUGGCACUGGCCCAUUUUCCAGAUAGGCUGACAGAGGCCAAGAGAGCUGAUAGAGAACUCUGGAGUGACUGACAGAGGCUCCCACCCAUCCCUAGAGACUCACUGACUCACCGGGCCUCCCAACAGAUAGACCAGCCUACUGAUGGGACUGGAGGGCACCCCUGAUGGCCUAGACUCCAGGCAGGCAGUCAUGGGUUGAAAACUGACUGGCCGUUUGGCAGACUGACUACUGAAAGCUGAUCAACACAUCCCUCACCGGCUCAAGGAAUUGGCUCAGCCUCUACAUACGCUGUUGGUUUUACCUUCUCCACGGCCAGGAGGAGGCACACUUCUUUUUCUGGAGUUGGGAUGUUCAGGAAAGGGAAAGGUGUACCCUCUUCUCCAAGGAGAUUCUGCCACCAGCCCCAGAGCAUGAAUCCCACCGCCACCCUUGACUGGCUUCGUGUCUGAGAAAGUUGCUUAACUCAGGUGCCUCAGUUUUUCUGUAAAAUCAGGGUAAUCAUAGGGCCGUUGUUGGCCAGGUGCGGUGGCUCAUGCCUAUAAUUCCAGCACUUUGGGAGGCCAAGGCAGGCGGAUCACCUAAGGUUGGGAGUUUGAGACCAGCCUAAUCAACAUGGAGAAACCCUGUCUACUAAAAAAUACAAAAUUAGUGGGUGUGGUGGCACAUGUCUGUGUCUCCCAGUUACUCGAGAGGCUGAGGCAGGGGAACCGUUUGAACCCAGGGGGCAGAGUUUUCAGUGAGCUGAGAUCAUACCAUUGCACUCAAACCUGGGCAACAAGAGUGAAACUCCAUCUCAAAACAAAAGGGCUGUAGUGAAGAUUAAAUGAAGGACUGCCCAACAAGCCUGCACGGGGCGAAGCGCAGGAAACGCUGGUGCUUUUGUUGACACUGUGAGCAGCAAGUCACACCCCUGCCAUGUGUCCCCUGCUGCCUGGUGACAUGGGUGCUCCAGGCCAGGGAUCCAAGGUGGCAGGGGGAGAUUGUGUGGGUCGAUAGGAAGUGUAAGUCCAGGGGCUGAGAGUGAGGGGCAGAUGGGAGGUGGGACCCCAGGGAGGACUGGGGGCAGGGACUACAGGAGGAUCUGCCAGAUAAGGUAUACCAGGCAAGCUUUUGGGAUGGAAGGGUAUCCCAAUGGCUCCUUGCAUUUCUGGAUCCACCCUGGACUUACAUUAGGAUUCAAGGUUACUGCCAGAGCCCGCACAUUUGAGCUUAGGUGGAAAAUGGACCCUGUCCUCUGCCUCUGCCCUGGCUGAGGAGGCCUUAUCUCCUGGGGAUUAAGGGGAAAAUGCUGACAGCAUAACUCAUCUCAGCCUGGCAUGCCCCCUGUCUGCUACUCCCUUCUCCCCGGCCCUCCAACUUCCACCCCCUUGAUGAGCGCCUGUCUUCUUGGCCCAGCUCCAGGGUGCAGACAACUCAGACCUGCAUCCUCUUAGAUCCAGCAGAUCUGCAAAUCCUGGGUCUCCGGGCUGAGGACUGACGGACUGCAGCUGGGCUAUGGCCAGGGUCACUUAGUCCAUACCCACCACUGACAUGAGCCACCCGGCCCUGCACCAGAGACAGGGUUCGACUCUGUGGCCCAGGCUGGAGUGAAGUGGCAUCAUCAUAGCUCAUUGCAGCCUUGAACUUAUGGGCUCAAGCGAUUCCCCCUCCUCAGCCUCUCAAGUGGCUGCGAUUACAGACUUGCUUGACUCUUUUAUAGGAACAUAUUCAUAUAUCAGUUAUGAAGUUAAAAAUAAGAAAAUAACAGAAGGAUUUAAUUUUUUUUUUCUUACAGACUCUCACUCUGUCACCCAGGCUGGAGUGCAGCGGCACGAUCUCAGCUCAUGGCAACCUCCACCUCCUGUGUUCAAGCGAUUCUCCUGCCUCAGUUUUCCGAGAAGCUGGGAUCACAGGCACAUACCACUGGGCCUGGCUAAUUUUUGUAUUUUCAAUAGAGAUGAGGUUUCAUCAUGUUGGCCAGGUUGGUCUCAAACUCCUGACCUCAGGUGAUCUGCCUGCCUCAGCCUCCCAAAGUGUUGGGAUGACAGGCGUGAGCCACUGCACCUGGCCAGGAUUUAAUUUUUAAAAAAGAAAGAAAAAGAAAGAGAGAAAACCCAGAGUGAGACAUGACUAUCUCCUGCCAGCAGCAAAUCUCAUGCUGCUUUCAGGAAGGAAUUCAGUGCAAAGGUCUAAAGAUCUGGGUUCAAAUCCUGCUGUGCCACUGACUCACUGUGUGAUUCUCAGGGCUCUUUCCCAUAAAAGUGGCUGGAUGAGGGUGCGAUGGCUCAAGCCUGUAAUCCCCGCACUUUGGGAGGCUUAGGCGGGCGGAUCACGAGGUCAGGAGAUUGAGACCAUCCUGGUCAACAUGGUGAAACCCUGUCUCUACUAAAAACACACAAAAGAUUAGCUGGGCAUGGUGGCGCACACUGUAGUCCCAGCUACUCAGGAGGCUGAGGCAGGAGAAUCGCUUGAACCCAGGAGAUGGAGACGGCAGUGAACCGAGAUUGUGCCACUGCACUCCAGCCUGGGGCACAGUGCAAGACUCAGUCUCAAAAACAAACAGAAAUGGCCAGGCGAAUGGAUGAAAUGAGAAAACAAUUUGUGACAGUUUCUAUCUCAGAAUCUAGGGACAGCCAGUGUUCUGUACACAUUGGUUUCUGUCUUUAAGCAACAUGGCUGCGCUGCCCCUGGAGCAGGCUAGAAAAGGUCCUACACACUCCCAGCCUGUGCGUCCUCACCACAGUCUCUUGUGAGUCUACUCAGCGGUCUCAUCUCCACACGUAAGGCCUGUCCCAUGCUGAGCUCCAGCUUCUCUCAUUGCAGUUUCUCCCCUACCUGUGUACAUGCUGGGGAUGUCCUUAGGAGGAGGCACCCCAAGGACAAGAGUAGCCCUUUGCCUCCUACUCACAAUCUGUGGGUCCAUUUCUUCCUCCAACCCCCACCUGCUGCAAGACCGCCAUGUUCCUAGGUAACUCUUUCCUGUAUGGCAGAAGAUGGACCAGCUGAGUCUGGCUACCAGUGUCCUCCCCAUGGGGUGCUCUUUGGACCCCAAAUGUGAGGUCACUGGAGAUGUGAGCUGGUCCUGGGACCAGCUGGGUAGGUAGCAUACAGGUUUGGUGACUGGCUGUGAGAUAAGGUUGAUGGGCCUGAAGGGCAUAGGUGCAGCUCUAAAGGGGUGGGGCGGGGGGGUAGCCCUUGGGCUCAGGAGAGGGAGCUGGUAGGCUGCCAGCUCCUUGCUGGCCCCAGAUGAGUCCAGGGGACCCGUAGGAUAUUGGAUGGGUGAGUAGGCUGCCACCGUCCUUCAGUCUCAAUCUUCCAGCCCUGAAGCCAGGGAGUGUCCAGUGAACUCACAUGCCCCAACAGGGUCCUAGGCAGACCCAGCACUGGCAUCUCUCCCUUUACCCUCAGACAUGGGCCAGGGCGAAGCCAGGAAGAUUCUCUGCAUAUACCUCAGCUCCCCUGGAGAGCAGUGGGGCUCUGGGUACCCAUACUCCCCCUACACAGGGGCAGCUCAGCCAUGUGGCUUGCUUUUAAAGAGAGGAAGAAACCAACAUGUACAGAACAGUGGCUGUCCCCAGAUUCUGAGAUAGAAAAGGUCACAAAUUGUUUUCUCAUUUCAUCCAUUUGCCCAAAGAGGCACAGGGCUUGACUCUGGGUUGACAUGAGAUAAAUAAUGGUCACUGUGGUUGUGUGAUUCCGGCCAGUUAAAAAAUGGGGACAAUAACCUUCUUCUGAGGGUGGCUGGGAAGAUUAGAAUAGCUAAUAUAUGCGAAGGGCUUCGAACAAUGGCAAGUAGAAAGCCCUACAGAAGCAUUUAUGAAAUACACAUAAGAAAACAAUAGGCCCGGUGCACAGGGGCUCACAAAGGCACACACAAACACAACUAUGUGCCUUCGAGUCACGCACCCACAGCUUCAGACCCAUGAACUCACACAGGGACUCAGACACUCACAAUCACGUAGACACAGAUAAACACCAUGCCCAGAGUCCCACAGAGCCCCGCUGUGACAUACAGACACCCAUACAGACACAUACAUACGCUCAGGACACCCAUACUCAUUACCCUGUCUACCCCUCACACUGUCACAUGCAUGCAUAUGUGUGCACAAACCGAACUCCCAGGGAGGUGGAGGGCGGUUCUAUCCCCUGGCAUUCAUCAGUGUUUGGAGUGUCUCUGCAGAGGGUGUUGAGCUCCUCUGAACCUCAGUUUCCCCAUCCACAAGGCCUUGUAUGGGGCUGUCUUUGGUGGGAAGCCUUUGCCGGGGCCAGAAUUGUGGGGGUGUAGGCACAGGUAAGUGGGAAGUGCUGAGGACCACAGAGGAAGGGAGAGCCUCUGAUGAUGUGAUUCUCAGGCAGAUGUUUCUUCCAGGUACUCUUUUUAGAGAUGGGGCAACUGAGGCAUGGAGGACAGCCCAGGCUUACACAGGCAUCGUACAGAAGCGAGGAAUCCUAGGCUCCUGCCUCCCGCCUGGAGCUCUGCGCUGCGUAGGGAGCUGCUGCUGGUCAGGAGGCGGAGGCAGCCUGCCUAUCCAGCUCCCCAGCAGGCAGCUGCCCCGACUGGGGAGCUGGGAAAAGGGGCUUUGAAGUUAGGCACGCAGGCAGACAGCUUCCUCAAGAACGGGCUGGUCCCUUGGGACGGGCUGCUAUGGGAUAGGACUGAGGGGCUGGGACAGCCCCCUUCCCAGAAAGUGGCCCCUAGACCCUGGCCCAGGAAGCGGAGGUGCUGCCCGCUCUGUCUCCAGCUCUCUGCCUCCAGCUGUCUCUUCCUAUUUUUCUUUGCUGUUCUUGGUCUGUUCACCACUCCAGCUCCUGGGAUCUCUCCUCCCCAAGCUGCUUUGUCUCUGUCUCUCCUCUCCCUCAACCCUUCCCUACCAUUCUGCCUUUAGGUCUCCACUCUCAGGGAGCGAGUCUUCCCAGGGGUCUCCUCACUUCCUGACAGGGUAUGCUGUGCUUCUCCUACAGGGGUACGCUGUGCUUCUCCUACAGGGGUGCACUGUGAGGUCAGUCUCCUUCAGGGACCUCCAUCCCUCCUCCAUGCCACACCACACCCACCUCCUCGGGCAAACAGCUUCUACCCUGGCUAAAGCCAGACAUGAGAAAGUGUGUGUGUGUGUGUGUGUGUGAAGGCUGGAGGGGGACCCUAAAUCCUACCCCCUGCCUGGAUGAUUCUGACCUCAAACCUACAUUCUCUAUGUCUGGGAUUGCAACAAAACUUGCAGAAAACAGAGGUCCUCAAAGCAAAGUCUGUGGGAGUACUGGCAGGGCCAAAGCCCAGCCUUCUGCUGGGUCACACUGUCAUCUUCCAGGGAGAAACAGCUAUGGUGCUCACAGAGGCAGAGGAUGGGGAAACCUCAACCACAAAUUUCCAGAUCUGGGACUCCAAACGAGGCUUCAGAAAUAGGGAGGCUUCAGGCAGCUGGAACCCGAAGUUCAGACAUCCCAGAGACAGCAGGCACCCAGGAUCCUGGAUCAGAGGGGACUCUCACCCAACGUUCGAACUGCAGGGGGAACUCAAGACUGCGUGCCCUAGACCUAUCCCGGGGACCCCAGGGUAAGCCCGCAUCCCGUCCCGGAGUGUAGGCGGCGGGGGACUCACCAGC